CAGUAGCCGCGGGAAUACGUAGGGUGCGAGCGUUAAUCGGAAUUACUGGGCGUAAAGCGUGCGCAGGCGGUUUUGUAAGACAGGCGUGAAAUCCCCGGGCUCAACCUGGGAACGGCGCUUGUGACUGCAAAGCUAGAGUGCGGCAGAGGGGGAUGGAAUUCCGCGUGUAGCAGUGAAAUGCGUAGAUAUGCGGAGGAACACCGAUGGCGAAGGCAAUCCCCUGGGCCUGCACUGACGCUCAUGCACGAAAGCGUGGGGAGCAAACAGGAUUAGAUACCCCAGUAGUCCCUGUCUCUUAUAC
rnacentral:rRNA from 1 species